UACAGAGGUCCCAAGCGUUGUUCGGAUUUACUGGGCGUAAAGGGUGCGUAGGUGGCGGGGUAAGUCUGGUGUGAAAGCUCCGAGCUCAACUCGGAAAAGCAUUGGAAACUAUCCCGCUGGAGGGUCGGAGGGAGACGUGGAAUUCUCGGUGUAGCAGUGAAAUGCGUAGAUAAUCGAGAGGAACACCAGUGGCGAAGGCGAGUCUCGUGGAAGCAGUUCCUGACGCUGAGGCACGAAG
rnacentral:rRNA from 1 species